rnacentral:rRNA from 1 species
GACGUAGGGGACGAGCGUUGUCCGGAUUCAUUGGGCGUAAAGAGCGCGUAGGCGGCCGUGCAAGUCGGAUGUGAAAAUCCGGGGCUCAACCCCGGACGUGCAUCCGAUACUGCUCGGCUAGAGGUAGGUAGGGGAGAUCGGAAUUCCUGGUGUAGCGGUGAAAUGCGCAGAUAUCAGGAGGAACACCGAUGGCGAAGGCAGGUCUCUGGGCAUUAACUGACGCUGAGGAGCGAAAGCAUGGGGAGCGAACAGG